rnacentral:lncRNA from 1 species
GUAAAUAUGUGUUCAUGACACUAGAUUUCAGAUUCUAUCAGUCUUGCUGGCUCCGGAGGUAAGCGCUUCGCUCAUGCCUUAGUACGAGAGGUUCAUGACUUCGAUCCCGAUUCUAUGUAGUUAUGUCCUUGCUUCCUUUGCUCCGCCAAAAAAAUAAGGUGCUCACUAACCGCAAUUUUACCUGUAUACAAUUGGAACUAUUUACUCUGUGACCAUAUAAGCCAAUGCACUUGAAAAGUUGUAGUUCAUAGUUCAUUUGAGAAGAUUUUUACUGUAUCAUAUCCAUUUAAAAUUCAUCCCAAUGUCACUACUGGUGCUCAAAUAAUUUUAUCUUUCAAAAUUUAAUAAUAUAUCACGAGAAAUAUAUAUUUCUUAAAUCCACUUUGCUUGCGAAUUAAUAUUUCUAAACUGAUAAUUACUAACCCUAUGCAUAUAUAUGUAUAAGAUAAUAAAAAUCGAUUCUAGAUUACUUAGAGAAUAAAAAUAAUCAUUGUAACUUUAACUAUUAUUUUAACGGACUAAAUAUUUUUUAUAAGAAAUCUGGAGAAUAUGUAACGAUUUUUUUCCAAAAAUUACAGACUACUUUUUCCUUUCUAUCGAAUAUUGAGGAGUUAGAACUAGGUAACAAAACUAACAGUGUGAGUUAAUUUCGCUACGGACAAAAAGAGAAGAAUAUUCUGAUUGAGCUAAGACCAAAAGCAGCACUAUUUUUAACUUGUGGAAAUUUGAGAUAUCGAUAGAAAUAUCUUUGUCAUGAUCUGGAUUGAUGGAAUAUCAGAACUUUUGAAAUUUGAGCUUUCCACUUUUUCUUUUUUCACUUUUUAGGAUUUUCCACUCCUGCUUUUCUGCUUAGUCAAUAUUUUGUAGAACUUUUCUUUGUGGUCUUUCGAGAAAGAAAGGGAUUUUGUGCCUUCCAAAGAUUGCGGAAAUUUUACUUUCCAGUGUGUGUUAAGCUCAUCGGGUAAAUAACUAAAUACUUUAUGUUUAUGAAAGAUUGGUCAUAGGUGUUCGUAACACGCAGCGAAAGACAAUAAUAAUUUUAGGUAGAUUUUUUUAUGUUUAAAAUUUAUUUACGUGGCAAAGAUCGGAUCAAAGACGUACCUGGUGAAGAGAAUCUCGUUUCAAACUUCUUCGAUAGUGCGAAGACUAUAUGCGUAUCCACACCGAGACCGAUCCUUGCUAUCAACUCU